GCAGUUUUUUAGUGGAAUAAAUUGCAAUUAAUUAUAGUAAGAAUUAAUUCAUGCUAAUUUCGAAUUACUACUAUAAUUAGUAGCCUCUUAUUAUUUCUGUGGUCCAUGCUAUACCUAGUAAAAACGUGGACAGACUUGGGUAAAAAGUAACUUAGGAGAAAAGUUAUCCUUUUGAGUUAGAGUAGGAUUCUACUUGCAGAAUCCUACACGUUUUUGAGCCCCUAUUGUGGCUUAAUUUCGGGUCUAUUAAAGGAAGACUAGUUUCACCUAAUAACUCACCUUUUAGUUGUAUUGUUCUUGCCCAUCCAAAAACAAAAUCGUCCAAAGGUUUUAUCAGGCAUAUAGCAGAAGACUGCAGCCCUGGAUUCUUACAGUUUGGAGGAUUUGUGCAACUAUUUCAAGAGUGCAAGGAGAUGUACGAUCAUGCCCUCUUCAGGCUUAACGAUGAGCUUUCGUAUUGAAAUAAGGAGCUCGAGAAGCUGUCCUCGAGACUGCGAGAGUCGGAGGCUCGUUCUAUUCAGCAGGAGAAAGAGUCAGGUGAGCUCCGUGCUACUUUGGAGGGAGCACUCCGAGAAAAGGCUGCCCUUGUUGAGCAGGUCGAGCAAAAUGGCUCGCAGAUUGGGCGACUGGAUGUGGAGAUCCUCGGGCUGAGGAGAUAAAAUGAGGCAGUGACCUUGGAGUUAACGUCGACCCAUGAUCUUCUCAAAGAUGCUCGAAAGGAGAUAGCUGAGCUGGUUGCGGCUAUGUCCAAGAUCAAAAGAAAUUUAGCCACUUACCUGUAGGAUGCAGCCAUAACAUAUCAACGGCCUGUGACAUAUCGAUAAAGGCUGAGCAAAAACUAGCUCGGGCCAUCGAUCAUGCUAGGGCGGAGGCGAGGAGAAAAACAUUGGAGGAGAUCGAGGCCGGGGGCAUCGAUCUGUCAGUUGGAAUCGAGGAGGCCUGGGAGCUGGAGAGAAAGUUGGCGUUUUAAUCAUUCAAGACGAAGAUCCCGAAGAUGGUUCAGGGGACACUAGUGAUGAAGAGUAGGCCUUGUGUUGCUUUUGUCCCCCCUUUCUGUGUAUGUACCCCCCGGGGAGUGAGUCUUGUG